GAAGCGGCCACACCCGGCUGGCAACAUCCAGCUCCACUCCGAACCUGGAAAUUAAGCAGUCGCGGGCCACAUCAGUACUGGGCUGGGCGACUUCCCGGGAACGUGCGGUGCUUGCUUCUUUUUCCUUUUUGCGCGGUGCAGGGCUAUUGCCCUGCACCAAUACUACACUCUACACCUAUGUUUGUCCCUGCUAAAACUCUUAUAUGUUGAGAUAUUUUAUAAUUUUAUAUUUUUUUUUAUUAAAAAAUGAAAAUUUUUCAUAAGCGAGACUCCCUCCGCUGGAGGAAAUUGAGAGUGGUAAUGGUAGUGUGAAUAGUGUGUGACGAACAAUCCUUUC